rnacentral:rRNA from 1 species
UGAGGAAUAUUGGUCAAUGGGGGCAACCCUGAACCAGCCAUGCCGCGUGGAGGAAGAAGGCCCUAAGGGUUGUAAACUUCUUUUGUACGGGGGUAACCUCUUCUACGUGUAGAAGACUGAAAGUACUGUACGAAUAAGCAACGGCUAACUCCGUGCCAGCAGCCGCGGUAAUACGGAGGUUGCAAGCGUUAUCCGGAUUUAUUGGGUUUAAAGGGUGCGUAGGCGGGUUUGUAAGUCAGUGGUGAAAGACUGUCGCUUAACGAUAGCAUUGCCAUUGAUACUGCAAGUCUUGAGUACACUUGAGGUAGGCGGAAUGUGUAGUGUAGCGGUGAAAUGCUUAGAUAUUACACAGAACACCAAUUGCGAAGGCAGCUUACUAAAUUGUUACUGACGCUGAGGCACGAAAGCGUGGGGAUCAAACAGG